UACGGAGGGGACUAGCGUUGUUCGGAAUUACUGGGCGUAAAGCGCACGUAGGCGGGUUUGUAAGUAGAGGGUGAAAUCCCAGGGCUCAACCCUGGAACUGCCUUCUAGACUGCAAGCCUGGAGGUCAGGAGAGGCGAGUGGAAUACCGAGUGUAGAGGUGAAAUUCGUAGAUAUUCGGUGGAACACCAGUGGCGAAGGCGACUCGCUGGACUGAUACUGACGCUGAGGUGCGAAAGCGUGGGGAGCAAACAGG
rnacentral:rRNA from 1 species